rnacentral:lncRNA from 10 species
AAGCAGGUUGCCCUCCCUAAUGUGGGGGAGCCUCAUCCAAACAGUAGAAGGCCUGAAUAAAACAAAAAGACCAAUUCUCCCCUGAGGAAGAGAAAAUUCCUCCUACCUGACUGCCUCUGAACUAGGACGCUGGCUUUUUCCUGCCUUUGGACUUGAAUGGAAGCACUGGCUAUUCCUGGGUCUUGAGCUUGCUGGCUCUUAAAAUGGAACUAACUACCCCAUGGGCCCUCCUGGGAAUCCAACUUGCAGACUGAUUGCUUUAAAUUUAGCAACAUCAUCUCACUGGCAAUACAUGAGUUGUAUUUCUUGAAUACAGGAAGCUACAUUCACUUCAGUGAAGGCUUGACGUCAUCAGGCAGCAUUAGCAUCACCUGGGACUUUUCAAGCCUCACCUCAGACCUACUAAAUCCGAGUCUGCAUUUUAAGAAGCUCCCCAGGUGAUUAAUCCCCACAAUAAAGUUUCAGAAGCAUUGAUUUAAAGGAUC